AUUACAGAUGACUACGGAAGGGGGAUGGUGGGGAUGAUGACGAUGAUGAAGAUGAUGAUGGGGUAGCACUCAACUCAAUAGCCAAAGCAAUGCAUAUUAGAGAGAAUCCCCAACAAGCCAAGGGAGCCUUUGAGGCUCGCAAAGCUCUUGAAGAACGGAUUUGUUGAAGUCAUUAUAAGUGCAAGCAAGAAUUAUCAGUACACAAAGAACUUUUUACUUUGUGCAUAGUAACUUUUCUGAUGGUGCAUUUGUAGGUAUAAAGAAUGUGGGCACUUAAACAAAAAGAAAAAAGAAUGACACGCCAAGGCCAGCAAUUCAAAUAACACUUACCCCGAAUGGACAGGCUUCCUUUCUUUAUUUCUAUUUCUUUGGCCAACACGGAUUGUAUUUGCG
rnacentral:misc_RNA from 1 species